CUACGGGAUGCUCCAGUGAGGAAUAUUGGUCAAUGGGCGCGAGCCUGAACAGCCAUCCCGCGUGCAGGAUGACGGCCCUAUGGGUUGUAAACUGCUUUUCUAUGCCAAGAAACCUGAUUACGUGUAAUCAGUUGCCGGUAGCAUAGGAAUAAGCAUCGGCUAACUCCGUGCCAGCAGCCGCGGUAAUACGGAGGAUGCAAGCGUUAUCCGGAUUCAUUGGGUUUAAAGGGUGCGCAGGUGGGCUUGUAAGUCAGUGGUGAAAUGCUGCCGCUUAACGGUAGAACUGCCAUUGAUACUGCGAGUCUUGAGUAUGGUUGAGGUAGGCGGAAUGUGUUGUGUAGCGGUGAAAUGCAUAGAUAUGACACAGAACGCCGAUUGCGAAGGCAGCUUACUAAGCCAUUACUGACGCUGAGGCACGAAAGCGUGGGGAGCGAACAGGAUUAGAUACCCUAGUAGUC
rnacentral:rRNA from 1 species